AGUUCGCGAAGUGACGGAGAAGAGAUCAGGUGGUUGAUAAUGGGAAAAGGAGAUCGGCUGAAUAUUGUGUAUAUAGUUGUAGUUUAAAGUAAAUAGUUAUAAUCCAAAUCGGAGGAAGUUUUUAUUGAUUGUGCGUGUGCGUGCAUCACACUAACCACACAUCUAUGCACAUGUAAUAAACCAAGAUUUGGAUUAUAAUCUGAGUGAGACAUCCUUGUUCUGACCGGACAAACUGUAGCCUUCAACCGAACCCGGACUAGCAAUUAGAUAAAGAAUCACAAGAUUUUUCAGUUAUCCUUUGUAAUGUGAGCUUAAAAUGUAUCUAUUUACUAGACUUCAGUGUACUGUAUAUUGUAUAUCAUACUUAUUGCAUUUUCACUGUUCGGUGCUCUUUAACGCUCUCAUCCUUUUCUAUUUUCCACCAUUUAUUCCCCAAACCUGUUUCAUACUGAUUCCUGUUUAUACGCCAGAAUGCACUCCGUCACACUGACAAUUUGUUCUUGAAAAAUGAUGAAAGGAUGUUGAUGGAUUGAUGAGCGGCUGUAAAUGUGGUUGAUGCAUUUUGAAAGUCAUAUUUGCAGGAAGAAAGUCUGGCCAGGAGCCAUUGUUUAUUGACAGCUCAGAACAUUAAAAAGAUGCACUGAAGAUAAAUGAAUGGCACAGAUUCUACCCUCCGGAAAGUAAAGUUAUAAGUUCUGAACUGAAAUUCGGUUGCAUUGAUGGACUCACAUUGUCCUCUUUGGUGCCACCCCAGAAAUUAAUGCCUCCUGCAUAGCUUGGGAUGUUCAAAACAGCAAGACCCUGAAGACUCGGCAAGGACAUGGGCACUCCAUCACACUGCACACAAAAAAAAGAGAGAGACAGACAGAGAGUGUUACAUGACGUACUGUACAGCUUCUAGAACAUUUGAAACAUGAAAACAUGAUCAGUUACACAGAUGAAAAAUACACAUCUACACAUAAACACAGUGGCAGAGCAUCAUUCAUAGUAUGUGAAGUGAAGUAAAUGGUACAAAGACUACUUCUUCCCAUUAAAGGUCAGAAAAGCCCACAUGUCAACAUCAUGCAUUCCCUUUCUCUCUGUCUGUCCAACACAUGCUCGUACCUCCAACUGGACUCUUUGUUCCAGGUUCUUGUAGGUUUUCUGCACCAGUUCUUUGGUCCCUAGCACUCCAUACCACAUCAUGUUUUUAGUGCGACUACUGUAAAAAACAAAAAACAAACAAAACAAAAAAAAAACAUAGUUUUAGUCAGCAUUAUAUAAACACAGCAUUAUUACAAAAAAAAAAAGUUUCUUGAAUAAAAAUGAACAAUAAAAGCAAAACUGUAACUAGUAAUACCAAUGCCUCUGCAAGGCAUUUUUACACAGAUUUAAUAAAUUGUAUUCAGCAGUUCUCAAACA